rnacentral:rRNA from 1 species
AUGAGUUCGCAAACAAUGUACGGAUUCUCAAGUCUUACGACUUUUGCUACGCUGGUCAUUACCAUGGCCACCGUACUUGUGUUUUUUGUACUCAAAAAUAGAAAAGUUUUACUGUCCGUCAAAAGUGAGCAACACCAGCUCCCACCCGGGCCUCCCACACUGCCCUUCAUCGGCAACAUUCACCAGAUGAUGUGGAACAAGCCGGCCGUAUUCCGGUGGAUCCAUCGCCUGCUCCAGGGGAUGGACACAGACAUCAUGUGCCUCCGUCUUGGAGCCAUUUAUGUUGUCGCCGUGACAUGCCCGGAGAUAGCAUGUGAGGUGCUGCGGAAGAAGGACGAGGUGCUGGCCUCCCGUCCGGCAACCUUCGCCUCGGGUUCGUUCAGCUUCGGGUACAAGGGCACCAUCGUGACACCACACGGAGAGAAGUGGAAGAAGAUGAGGCGCGUCCUCACCUCAGAGAUCCUCACCCCGUCCAUGGAGCAGAAACUCCAUCAUCUCCGGCAGGAGGAGUGUGACCACCUUGUGACGUACAUCAACAAUACCUGCAUGGCAUGUCCAGACAACCUCGUCGACGUGCGACAUGUCGCCCGACAUUUCUGUGGUAACAUGAUAAGAAGGCUCGUGUUGGGUAAGAGAUACUUUGGCAGCGAGCUGCCGGGUUCAUCGGCUAGCGGACCCGGACAUGAUGAGAUGGCACAUGUUGCCGCUCUCUUCACGCUCCUCAACUACCUCUACAACUUCUGCGUGUCCGACUACUUCCCAGCCCUCAUCGGGUUUGAUUUGGAGGGCCAUGAGAAGGUUUCCAAGGAUGUGAUGGGAAUACUCAACCGGUUGCAUGACCCCAUCAUUGAGAAGAGGAUCAUCGAAAGGUCGAAUCUUCGGAAUGGUGGUGAAUGCAAAGAGGCCAGGGACUUUCUGGACGUCCUGGUUUAUCUAGAUGAUGCAGAUGGCCAACCAUUGUUGUCCGUAGACGACAUCCGGGCGCAGAUAGUGGAAAUGAUGUAUGCAACAAUCGAUAACCCAUCAAAUGCUGUUGAGUGGGCACUCGCUGAGAUGGUGAACAAGCCAGAGGUGAUGAAAAAAGCAACUGAUGAAAUCGACGCCAUCGUCGGUAAAGAUAAACUAGUCCAGGAGUCUGACAUUCCACGACUAAACUAUCUCAAGUCAUGCAUCCGAGAGGCUUUCCGCAUACACCCAUACCAUGCCUUCAACCCACCCCAUGUCGCCAUGGUAGACACCACUAUCGCUGGUUACACCAUCCCUAAGGAUAGCCAUGUCAUUUUAAGCCGGAUGGGACUUGGUCGGAACCCCAAGAUCUGGAACAAACCACUUGAUUUUCAGCCCGAGAGGCAUUUGAAUACUGCAAAUGUACUCCUCAGUGAACCAGGACUACGCUUUAUUUCAUUUAGUAGUGGGAGGAGGGGUUGUCCCGGAAUUUCACUUGGUACCUCAGUCACAAUGAUGUUGUUCGCGAAGAUGUUGCAGGGAUUCACCUGGACGAAGCCCGCUGGCGUUGACAGAAUAAGUCUCCAAGAAAGCAAUACUGGCGCCCUUGCCUUAGCUGAACCCCUGGUUUUGCAAGCUAAACCACGUCUGGCUGCACAUCUCUAUGAGAAAAAUUAA